CAGCACCUCAAGUGGUCAGGAUGAUUAUUGGGCCUAAAGCAUCCGUAGCCGGCGCUGUAAGUUUUCGGUUAAAUCUGUACGCUCAACGUACAGGCUGCCGGGAAUACUGCAGUGCUAGGGAGUGGGAGAGGUAGACGGUACUCGGUAGGAAGGGGUAAAAUCCUUUGAUCUAUUGAUGACCACCUGUGGCGAAGGCGGUCUACCAGAACACGUCCGACGGUGAGGGAUGAAAGCUGGGGGAGCAAACCGGAUUAGAGACCCGAGUAGUCC
rnacentral:rRNA from 1 species